CGCCUCGUUUCCAGCCCCUAGGAAGGCGUCGCCCGCCCCGAGCUGAGUCUCCAGCAGAGAUUUCUGCUUAUGUCAUGUUGCUGUUACAGGUUUAAAUGCCAGCCACCUCGGUCUAACGGGUCUCUUGAUGGCUGGAAACGGCCCCGUGUAGUGCCCACGUGUGUCAGGGGUCUCUCCACGCUGGCCCGUCUGCGCGCCCUGAGAAUCAGAACAGCCGUGCUGACUCCGAGCCCUUUUAGUCCUGGGGUGCAACGCUGAGUCCUCCUGCUCAGUGAUUUGGGAAGUGGUCCAAUUUAGAGGGAACCGCCGCCUCUGAAGCAGGUGAAGAAGGAUGCCCAGAAAGUCGCUUUCCCCAUUUGUGACCUCCAUGGGGACGGGGAUGCAACCAGCCUGAGCCUUGAAGUCCAGAGUGAAGCGUUUUCCUGAGGGUCCGAACACCGGAGAGGUCGUGUCUAUCCUGGGAAGUGUGGCUGUGGUUCUGUCAGGCCGUCUGUUUACCUGAAACCCUUACCUGAUGGCCCUGGGGUCCUUCCCAAGCACCAACUCUCCAGGCUGGGCCCAACUGACCUUGUCCUCUGACCUGAGGCUGGCUUGGACCUUGGACCAGUUCCUGCCACUGAGCUCUGCCUCCGUUUAUGGUCUGGUGUGGUGGGCGGCUCACCCUGGCCCUCGAUGGCCCCUGGCAUUUCUCUUCUAGGGUCAGGAGAUUCUGGGCCCAGGGCCAGCCCUGCCACCCCUGGUGGACCUCUCUGAGGCCGGCCACCUGACCCCCUGCCCGGGCUCCCUGUCUGUGGUGUCCGUGUGCUUAUGAUCCAUGCUGUCCUGGCCACCACAUUGUCACCUGCUUGACUCAACCUGGACUGGCUACAGCUGGACCCCCUUGGAAGGCCUAACUUGGCCCAAGAUGAGCAUCCCGUCUACCAUGAGUGGGGACAGCUUUCCCAGCACCAGCCAGCUCCCAUCUGGGUCCAGUGUGGGUCCACCUCUAGCCCAGGCCCUCGCUGCCUGACUGUCUGUCCCCAGACGACCAGGGGCAAGGAGUCUUUUUGGCUAGCGGGUCCCAAGCAUGGAUGGUGACUGUAGUUGAUAGCCCUUUCUAGCACACGAGGUCAUCUUGUGGUCACUCUCGCAUUUGAUCUUCCUAAAGAGGAAGCGAGGACACCAACCUCGAUGAAGCGGAGAUCACGCGUAGGGUCUCUGAGCGAGCUGGCUCCCAGGGCCACUGUGCGGAGGGGCAGUGCUCCCUGUUUGCAGAUGAGGACACAGCUCAGGGCCUUCCAAGACUGCUCAGAAAGCCAGUGCCGAUGUAGGGUGGGAGCCGCAUCCACGAGGCCCACAGGCUCAUGGGAGGUUUUUCCUCCCCUUCUUCUGGUGGUUGGUGGAUCCCUCUCACGCUAUAUCCUAUUCCCCUCUUCACCCCUGUGCUGAAGCCACCCCCUCAGGAAGGGAGCCAUGCUCCGAAGCUGUAAUGUCAGACACAGAGGCUAGAGGUGUAGACAUGGGGCUCCGUGGGUGUGGCCCUGGUGGGUGUGGGUGUGGUGUAGAUGGGGUGUGGGUGGGGCAGCCCCCCCUCCUCUGGCGGGUUCACCCAGGGCCAGCUUUUCCUCGUCACAGCCCUCCAGAUAAGGCGUUCCAGGGCUUAACAGCCCCCAUUAUCUGACCCAAAUACCUCCUGCUGAAAUUGAAGCCGACAUCUUUAGACCUGGCUCUGAAUGAUACGGAGACCCCGUCACACACCCCCGAGGGGGUCAGCACCUUGUGCGCAGGUGCAGGAGGUGACCUGAGGCCCCCUUUCACUGGCGCUCUGCCUGGAUGCCCACUUCAGGAGAGGUGCGGCCCUCGGAUGCCACGCUGUCCUGGACUACGGCGGGAAGGAUGGAGGGACACGACGGGGUGGCGCUGCAUCUUGCUCUCUCUGAGCCUCAGGGUCUCUCCCCUCCACCAGUUCCCUGGAGGAACCAAGCUUCUGGCCCCAGAGCCUUUGCAGGCUGUGCCCUCUCCCUCGAGGUCCCGCUUUCACCCAUGGACCCUGUUGUCAUGAUAUAAUUAGCCAUGAAAUUAUAUUUAAUGUCAAUCUUUUCCACUGCACUCUCUGUUAGAUUUCGGGGCGGCCGUAACAAAGAACCACAAACCGGGGGCUUCAAACAACAGAAAUUUGUUCUCUCACAGUUCUGCAGGCCAGACGUCCAAAAUCAAGGUGUCAGCAGGGCCGAUCCUUUUGUGGUGGCCGCGAUGCGUAGCAUCCCCUGGCUGGCAGCUGUCAUCACUCCAGUCUCUGCCUCCAUCAUCACAUGGCUUUCUCCCUCUGUGUCUUUAUCCAGAUUUCCCUCUAUGGGGACACCAGUCCUGUUGGAUUAGGGUCCACCCUAAGCCAGCAUAACCUCAUCUUAACUAAAUUACAUCUGCAAAGAUUUUAUUCCACAUGUACAGGGGGUAGGUCUUGAGCAUACCUUUGUAGGGGGACACAACUUAACCCACAAUAGACUCGAAGGCUUUCUGGGUCAGCCCUGUCCACGGUUGGGUCCCCAGUGUGGCCUCGGAAGGCAUGUGUGAAUGUCUGUGGGAUGAACGAAUGGACAAGCAGAGAGGUGACCCAGCAAAGAGGUUGUAAAUGAGAAGAGCUGGGUGUCCCAGGAAAGUCGGAUUGGUGCCUACGAUUUCUCUCUCCCUUCCUCUCCUUUCUGGUACAUUUGGUUCUUCUCAAACGUGAGUUCUCUGUACCAGCAUCUCCUCCCCUCCUCCACGCUUGCUUCCUGUUUCCUGCCUCUCCUCUGAGCUGUUUCAGAAGCUGAAACCGCCAGGGUUGGACAUGCCCGCCAGAGAAAGCACACUGCUCCCCGAGCGAGAAGCAGCGACGUUGCCGUCUCCUGUGCUCUGACCCCACACACGACCCCAGCAGCUUCCUGUGUCACCCAGGGGCUGCUGGGGAUGUGGGCCCUUGAAAACUGCUGGCAGGAGAGCUCAUGGAUGUCCUGCAGAGCCACCUUGCUCCCUCAGAGGUGUGGCAGCUUCGGCUCAUGUCUUAUUUCGUUUCUACUUGUCUACAGGGCAAAAUCCUACACAGUGACACCUCAAGAGGCCGGCCCUGCCUCUGAUCUUGGGGACUUUCUCCUCCGCCCAAGAGGCUCUGAGCUCAUGUCUGACCCUGUCUCAGAAAACCAGCAAGAUUGAUAAUGCCGUGUGGGUGCUGUCAUCAAGGUCGUUGCUGGUCCUUGAAUUACCCUGUCCCGGUCAGCGGGGGCUGACGUCACAAAAUGUCACAGACUGUGGACUUAAACAACAGCCGUUUCUUUUCUCAUAGUUCUUGAGGCUGGAAGUCCAAAUCCAGGUCCAGCAGGGUCGGUUUUUGCUGAAGACUCUUCUGAGCUUGCAGACGGCCCCUUCUCGCUGUGUCCUCACACGGCGGAGAAAGAGGGAGAGGGAGGGAGCUCUCAUGCCCCUUAGAAGGACACUAAUCUGAUCAGAUUAGGACCCCACCCCUGUGACCUCAUUUAAUCGUGAUCACUUCCUUAUUCCAAAUACAGCCACGCUGGGGUGAGGCCUUCAACCUGUAAAUUUUGAGAGGACCCGAACAUUCAGUCCAUAACAUACAUACUAGAUUUUUCAGGAUAAAUCUUCUUUUCCCACGUGAAGCACAAAAAGAAAUGCUUCUGUGUACAACCAGCUGUGGCCGUGACAGGCAGAGAGGCCGAGUGUGGGUUGGGGCCCUGGACACCCCGAUGCUGGGUGCUGGAUGUUCUGGCACUUCCCCCCUCGGCCCUGCUGAGGGUGCCGAGCUGAACCCCAGGACGAUCCAGCCUGGAUAAAGUCCUCAGGACAAAAACAGCGCUCUCUGAUAACCACUCGCUGUGGAUGGGACAAGAAACAGAGAUUGUGGGAGAAUUUCUAAGUGAAAGUGGGAAGCUUUGCAAAAAAGCGAGAGACGGCUGUGCAGGGCCAGUGAGCGUGACACCCUGUGAGCCGCCCCUGCAGGGGAACCACUCAGAGGUGGCUGAGGUCAUACAGCCAAACCCCAAGCACCACUCCCUCCUACCAGAGGAGGCAAAGGUACUUUUUCGGUGGGAUGAAGGCAUUUUAGACCCAUAAGAUCAAAGGGAGGGACCUUCCUAGGGCUGCCGGCAGAGAAAGGAUGUGGGCUGAGCUGUCAACAGAACUUCCAAGGGAUCUGAUUUAUCCAUCACCUUUGCAGAAUUUCUCGAAGGCCUUCCUGGGGCUCUGCAAACUGCAGAAACCCCCAGCCUGGAAGGCAUGGAAACCUGGCCGUGUUACUUUAGACUGAUAGGUGCACGUCCUGAAAGGACCAAUGUACAUGUCCACCCACAGAUCCCACAUGUACCAAGGACCUCUCAUUGAUGACCCCAAACACACUCUGCCAGAACUUGGGGGGCUUGUGGGAGAAGAGGGGGGAGGGGC
ensembl:lncRNA